rnacentral:rRNA from 1 species
GAUGGACGCUAGCGGCAGGCUUAACACAUGCAAGUCGAGGGGUAUAGUAGCAAUACUAGAGACCGGCGCACGGGUGCGUAACGCGUAUGCAAUCUACCUUUCACAGAGGGAUAGCCCAGAGAAAUUUGGAUUAAUACCUCAUAGUAUAGUAUCUUGGCAUCAAGGAACUAUUAAAGUCACAACGGUGAAAGAUGAGCAUGCGUCCCAUUAGUUAGUUGGUAAGGUAAAGGCUUACCAAGACUACGAUGGGUAGGGGUCCUGAGAGGGAGAUCCACCAAACUGGUAACGAGACACGGACCAGACUCCUACGGGGGGCAGCAGUGAGGAAUAUUGGACAAUGGGCGCAAGCCUGAUCCAGCCAUGCCGCGUGCAGGAUGACGGUCCUAUGGAUUGUAAACUGCUUUUGUACAGGAAGAAACACACCGACGUGUCGGGACUUGACGGUACUGUAAGAAUAAGGAUCGGCUAACUCCGUGCCAGCCGCCGCGGUAA